rnacentral:snRNA from 1 species
UGUCCUCCAUAGGAGGUCUAUAUUGAGCAGAUUUGUUUUUGGUGUUGGGUGGUGGAACUGGAGCUUGCUCCAUCCACUCCAUGCAUUGACCUGGUAUUACAGUGCUUCCAGGAACGGUGC